GGCGGACGGGUGAGUAAUGCCUGGGGAUCUGCCCAGUCGAGGGGGAUAACUACUGGAAACGGUAGCUAAUACCGCAUAACGUCGCAAGACCAAAGAGGGGGACCUUCGGGCCUCUCACUAUCGGAUGAACCCAGAUGGGAUUAGCUAGUAGGCGGGGUAAUGGCCCACCUAGGCGACGAUCCCUAGCUGGUCUGAGAGGAUGACCAGCCACACUGG
rnacentral:rRNA from 14 species